GAUGAAGAACGUAGCGAAAUGCGAUAAGUAAUGUGAAUUGCAGAAUUCAGUGAAUCAUCGAAUCUUUGAACGCACAUUGCGCCCGCUGGUAUUCCGGCGGGCAUGCCUGUUCGAGCGUCAUUUCAACCCUCAAGCUCUCCGGAGUUUGGUGUUGGGGCGCCUGGGGCUUUUCGACCUCAGGGCCCUCAAGUCCAUCGGCGGGACCGCCAGGACACUGAGCGCAGUAGUAUUAUUUCGCUCGGUAGGAUCUUCCACGGCGGGUCGAUCUGGCCGCUAAACCCCCCAAUUCUCACCAAGGGUUGACCUCGGAUCAGGUAGGAAUACCCGCUGAACUUAAGCAUAUCAAUAAGCGGAGGA
rnacentral:misc_RNA from 1 species